GACGAACGCUGGCGGCGUGCCUAAUACAUGCAAGUAGAACGCUGAGGGAGGAGCUUGCUUCUCUGGAUGAGUUGCGAACGGGUGAGUAACGCGUAGGUAACCUGCCUGGUAGCGGGGGAUAACUAUUGGAAACGAUAGCUAAUACCGCAUAAGAGUAGAUGUCGCAUGACAUUUGCUUAAAAGGUGCAAUUGCAUCACUACCAGAUGGACCUGCGUUGUAUUAGCUAGUUGGUGAGGUAACGGCUCACCAAGGCAACGAUACAUAGCCGACCUGAGAGGGUGAUCGGCCACACUGGGACUGAGACACGGCCCAGACUCCUACGGGAGGCAGCAGUAGGGAAUCUUCGGCAAUGGACGGAAGUCUGACCGAGCAACGCCGCGUGAGUGAAGAAGGUUUUCGGAUCGUAAAGCUCUGUUGUAAGAGAAGAACGAGUGUGAGAGUGGAAAGUUCACACUGUGACGGUAUCUUACCAGAAAGGGACGGCUAACUACGUG
rnacentral:rRNA from 1 species